CAUUGGGUUUUUAGGUCCCCCACACAAGAAAGAGGAGUGCUCUCUCUCUAUAUAAUUCUAUUUUUCAGUAUCCGUGUAUUUGACCAGAUUAUUAAAAUAGGUGACAUCAAUCUAAUUGGAUUGGAUGAAGCAGAAAUCGUCUCUACUUUUAAAAAAAUGGACGAUUCUCCUUUCCAGAUUGAAAUUGGCCGCGAACCACCUGAAGUCAAGUCAGAACUUAUCGAACUCCUCGAGUUGUCAGAGGAAAGGAAGAAAUAUUUUAUGGAUUCGCUCAUAGUACAGGAAAAAAUUAGAGAUAUCACUAUUGUGAGAGGACAAGCAAGUAUUUGUAGAAGUCCAAGAGUACCAUGGUACUGGAUGGCCAGUGACCUGAAAUUUGUUAUUGGGGCACUGAAAAUAUUAAUAGAAGAAGAUCAGGGAUGUAGAAAAAACAUCCAAGCUAUCUUUGAGCAGGCUAACAUUUUUCAAGAGAAAUAUAAAGACAUGAACACAUACAAAGUAAAUAUGGAACAGAAACCUGAUGAAUCAAAUAAAGAAGGCACAUUUUUACCAUUGGCCCCAGAAGAAGAAUUAUUACUAGAACAAUUUAAAAUAAAACCUAAAGAGAUAAAAAGUGAAGAUUUAUCACCAGGGCAAUUAUUAGCCCAAGGGGAUUUCAAUUCAGGUGUGAAAAAAGAGGCACAGAGAAGAUAUUCAGAUAGUUACCUUUCCAGGGGUGACUUCAUGGCUUCUGGCUCUAAAAUCAAAGCCAAAGAGACCCCAAUAAAAAAAGAAAAAGAAGAAGAUGAAAUAGUAGUGGAGGAAGAGAUUAUUAGCACUGGAAAACCUACAGAGGGAAAGGCUAAAAAGAGAUUUUCCUGGUUCAGCAAUAUCAAAGAAUGCAAGCUGUGGAACUUCUUUCAUUUUAAAAAACAUGACAAACAAGUAAAGAAUGUGCACAAGUGGGAAGAAAUUGAUCAAGAGGUAUUGGAUGAUUACUGUCCUUAUUCUACUGAAGCCCCUAAAACAUUGCCAACACAGUGGACAAAUAUUGAAGUUGGUAAUUGGUUAUGGAGCAUUGGAAUGGAGGAGUAUGUUGUAAAAUUUUAUUGUAAAGGAAUAAAUGGUGGAAAACUCCUUAUACUGGACAAUCGCUUGCUAAAAGAAAUCAAAGUCAACAGGAAGAAAGACCGCCGGAAAAUACUUAAGGCUAUUAAGAAAAUUAGAGAUUUUUUGGAAAAAAAUCAUAUUUGGUUCUUACUAUAG
ensembl:lncRNA